rnacentral:rRNA from 1 species
AGAGUUUGAUCCUGGCUCAGGACGAACGCUGGCGGCGUGCCUAAUACAUGCAAGUAGAACGCUGAAGAGAGGAGCUUGCUCUUCUUGGAUGAGUUGCGAACGGGUGAGUAACGCGUAGGUAACCUGCCUUGUAGCGGGGGAUAACUAUUGGAAACGAUAGCUAAUACCGCAUAACAAUGGAUGACCCAUGUCAUUUAUUUGAAAGGGGCAAAUGCUCCACUACAAGAUGGACCUGCGUUGUAUUAGCUAGUAGGUGAGGUAACGGCUCACCUAGGCGACGAUACAUAGCCGACCUGAGAGGGUGAUCGGCCACACUGGGACUGAGACACGGCCCAGACUCCUACGGGAGGCAGCAGUAGGGAAUCUUCGGCAAUGGGGGCAACCCUGACCGAGCAACGCCGCGUGAGUGAAGAAGGUUUUCGGAUCGUAAAGCUCUGUUGUAAGUCAAGAACGAGUGUGAGAGUGGAAAGUUCACACUGUGACGGUAGCUUACCAGAAAGGGACGGCUAACUACGUGCCAGCAGCCGCGGUAAUACGUAGGUCCCGAGCGUUGUCCGGAUUUAUUGGGCGUAAAGCGAGCGCAGGCGGUUUGAUAAGUCUGAAGUUAAAGGCUGUGGCUCAACCAUAGUUCGCUUUGGAAACUGUCAAACUUGAGUGCAGAAGGGGAGAGUGGAAUUCCAUGUGUAGCGGUGAAAUGCGUAGAUACAUGGAGGAACACCGGUGGCGAAAGCGGCUCUCUGGUCUGUAACUGACGCUGAGGCUCGAAAGCGUGGGGAGCGAACAGGAUUAGAUACCCUGGUAGUCCACGCCGUAAACGAUGAGUGCUAGGUGUUGGAUCCUUUCCGGGAUUCAGUGCCGCAGCUAACGCAUUAAGCACUCCGCCUGGGGAGUACGACCGCAAGGUUGAAACUCAAAGGAAUUGACGGGGGCCCGCACAAGCGGUGGAGCAUGUGGUUUAAUUCGAAGCAACGCGAAGAACCUUACCAGGUCUUGACAUCCCGAUGCUAUUUCUAGAGAUAGAAAGUUACUUCGGUACAUCGGUGACAGGUGGUGCAUGGUUGUCGUCAGCUCGUGUCGUGAGAUGUUGGGUUAAGUCCCGCAACGAGCGCAACCCCUAUUGUUAGUUGCCAUCAUUCAGUUGGGCACUCUAGCGAGACUGCCGGUAAUAAACCGGAGGAAGGUGGGGAUGACGUCAAAUCAUCAUGCCCCUUAUGACCUGGGCUACACACGUGCUACAAUGGUUGGUACAACGAGUUGCGAGUCGGUGACGGCAAGCUAAUCUCUUAAAGCCAAUCUCAGUUCGGAUUGUAGGCUGCAACUCGCCUACAUGAAGUCGGAAUCGCUAGUAAUCGCGGAUCAGCACGCCGCGGUGAAUACGUUCCCGGGCCUUGUACACACCGCCCGUCACACCACGAGAGUUUGUAACACCCGAAGUCGGUGAGGUAACCUUUUGGAGCCAGCCGCCUAAGGUGGGAUAGAUGAUUGGGGUGAAGUCGUAACAAGGUA